rnacentral:lncRNA from 1 species
GCCACUGGUCUGCAGGCGUUUUCUUCUUCUAACUUCCUCUCCUGUGACAAAAGAGAUAACUAUUAGAGAAACAAAAGUCCAGAAUGCUAAGGUUGCCGCUUUCACUUCCUCUCACCCUUUAGCCCAGAACUGCUUUGAAUACACCAAUUGCUGUGGGGCGGCUCGAGGAAGAGAAGACACCAGUGCCUCAGAAACUGCUCGGUCAGACGGUGAUAGCGAGCCACGCAUUCACAGGGCCACUGCUGCUCACAGAAGCAGUGAGGAUGAUGCCAGGAUGAUGUCUGCCUCGCGCCUGGCUGGGACUCUGAUCCCAGCCAUGGCCUUCCUCUCCUGCGUGAGACCAGAAAGCUGGGAGCCCUGCGUGGAGAUGCCACUGCUACUCCUUCACUUGCUCAUUCUGCAAAAGUUUGUAGAUCUUCUGCAAGGAGAACGGCAUUGUUAACUACCUACAGGAAGUGGUAAGCCAGAUAUGACCCUUGUACUUAUACAUCUUCCAUUCUAGUGAAUCUUGUUGGGAUAUUAUGUUGACUUAUUUCUGUUCCUUAGUGAUCAACUCCUCCCAAUUUCAUACAGUAUUACUUUACAUACAGUUUUAAAUCCUUCAGUCUCAGGUGUCCUUUG